AUCUUUGCGGAUGAUUAAGGUUCGAUACGACUCGAUUAAAAAGGGAACGGGGUGAAAAUCUCCGACUGUCCCGCAGCUGUAAGUUCCUUUAUAACUUAAAAGUAACAUGCCACUGUGAAAACGGGAAGGUGCUUGAAAGUGGAACAAAGUCAGAAUACCUGCCUUAUGAUGUAAGACCUAU
rnacentral:ncRNA from 18 species